GUCGAGCGAACGGACGAGAAGCUUGCUUCUCUGAUGUUAGCGGCGGACGGGUGAGUAACACGUGGAUAACCUACCUAUAAGACUGGGAUAACUUCGGGAAACCGGAGCUAAUACCGGAUAAUAUUUUGAACCGCAUGGUUCAAAAGUGAAAGACGGUCUUGCUGUCACUUAUAGAUGGAUCCGCGCUGCAUUAGCUAGUUGGUAAGGUAACGGCUUACCAAGGCAACGAUGCAUAGCCGACCUGAGAGGGUGAUCGGCCACACUGGAACUGAGACACGGUCCAGACUCCUACGGGAGGCAGCAGUAGGGAAUCUUCCGCAAUGGGCGAAAGCCUGACGGAGCAACGCCGCGUGAGUGAUGAAGGUCUUCGGAUCGUAAAACUCUGUUAUUAGGGAAGAACAUAUGUGUAAGUAACUGUGCACAUCUUGACGGUACCUAAUCAGAAAGCCACGGCUAACUACGUGCCAGCAGCCGCGGUAAUACGUAGGUGGCAAGCGUUAUCCGGAAUUAUUGGGCGUAAAGCGCGCGUAGGCGGUUUUUUAAGUCUGAUGUGAAAGCCCACGGCUCAACCGUGGAGGGUCAUUGGAAACUGGAAAACUUGAGUGCAGAAGAGGAAAGUGGAAUUCCAUGUGUAGCGGUGAAAUGCGCAGAGAUAUGGAGGAACACCAGUGGCGAACGCGACUUUCUGGUCUGUAACUGACGCUGAUGUGCGAAAGCGUGGGGAUCAAACGGGAUUAGAUACCCUGG
rnacentral:rRNA from 1 species